AAAAAUUACAAGGUGAGCAAUAUGGUUUCUUAUGUGCAAAGAAGCCUACACCAAGCACCACUGUAUUGUUAUUUGCAAGGGUUUCAGUGCACUAUAUGAUACUAUUCGCCGUCAGCUGAAAUUCGUAGCGGUUAUCGGUAAAAAUAAUCUAAACUAUCAAUCGAGUUCACUCGAGAUAUAGUUUUUCACAUUCCAUUCAUAAAUCGCAUAAAGAAAAACCACUACUGACCUACCUUUUAAGUGAUCACACUGUAAUAAUCCUGACCUUCACUUUUUCAUAGACGAUUUUGAAUGGUGGAAUCAGCCAUUGUUUUUACCGGAAGUGUUUCCGUGGAGUUCAAUUUCAUAAAAUUUGCAUAAAGCGCGGGAAACCUUAUCACAUCAAUGAAAGGAACAUUUCAGGAAUCUGCGUACAGUGACGAAUGUCAUAUGUAAACAAAUGAUCCUCAUAGAAACGAAGAUGGCGGAAUUACAAUGGAAAAUAUUCUGGAAAAUGUGAAGGUCAGGAUUAUUACAGUGUGAUCACUUAAAAGGUAGGUCAGUAGUGGUUUUUCUUUAUGCGAUUUAUGAAUGGAAUAUGAAAAACUAUAUCUUGAGUGAACGCGAUUGAUAGUUUAGAUUAUUUUUACCGAUAACCGCUACGAAUUUCAGCUGACGGCGACUAUAUAGUGUCAGCUGUUGCAAAUUAUAUAAUUUAUCUUUAGCUCUAUAUUUUGACAAUGACCCCCAAUGCAAUCAUUUAUACGAUCCUUCGAACCCC
rnacentral:lncRNA from 1 species